rnacentral:lncRNA from 1 species
GCAAAUCCUGGCCUUCAAAGCAAUACACUCGUCAGUGGUAUGGCCAGAUUGAUUCAGAAAAUAACCAAAUCCUUCCAUUUGAUCGGGCUAGAGGACCUCAUAUCUCUUAGGAUUUUAUAAAGCCGAGCAUGUCACGAUCUGGGGGUACCAAAAAUAUCUUCUGAAGCGAGAUCUGAGGGUGAUUUUUUCACUUCCCGACCUAAUCCUAGUUGGCCAGACGACAUCCCCUUUAAUCUUAGCCCAACAGUCCUCUCUUAAGUUUGAAGGUGGGGCUUGCUCAAACUUCUUCUUUUCCUGCGUGAUCAACUGCUUGACUUCGGCAAUUUCCUUGUCGGCCUAAUCGGCCCUCCUAAUCAGUCUCUUGAUCUUUUUUUUUUUUUGCAUUUCCUCCAUUUGGGCUAACUCUACUAUCCCUCUUUCAGUUGUGUGGUACUUAAAUCCAUGACAAAUCUUCCUAAAAGAAUAUGAAUACAUUUAAAAAGAAAGUUAACGAAAAUGAUUGAGGACUUUCUGAGAGACUUGGGGACCUGGAGCAUUUUGGGCGAACUUUAGAUAAUAAGCACAUAUUUUUUCCUAAAGGGUUUCUAAUACUUUGUUAAAGAGUAGAUCAAUUUACCUUUGAUUUAACAAUGCAUAUAAUCACAUAAACAGUUAUAUCACACAAGACAGUUAUAUCAGACAACAAUAGAAUAAUAAACAGUUUGUCCUAAUUGGGUGAUCCUUUUGAGCCAAGGGUUGGCCUAGCAAAUUUGAAGGAAAUAUAUGCUUUUUAAACCAAUCAAUUAACCCCCCAAAUCUCCAUAGAUAUAUAGAAAGCCAUGAGUGUUUGCAAAAUAUGCAUAAAAGGAUACAAUUUUUACGGAAAGGGGAAAUGACAUAAAAAAGGAACAAAGUCCCGCGCAAGGGAUGGAAAAUUAACUCCAAGAUGAUCUUUCGUCGUCCUCGCCUUCUUAGAUUUAUCCACAUCUUCCCAUAUGUGAUAUCUUUUGAUGGUCAGGCGGCUCCCACAUAAUUGUACUUUGUUCUUGUAGGUCAUCUUCCCUAUGCUAUCAAUUUGAGAAGCCAUGUGAUCAUCCAAAUCAAGCAAACACUGUCUUGCAUCAUCAACCUCUUGCCUAGUUCGCUUUAACUCUUCUCUCAAUUGGUGUAUAGUUGAGGCAACCUCUAUCUGCAUCUAUUGGAGCAUCAUUUCACCUCUUCAGAAUUUGUCCUGAAGCUUGUGGAACCGGAUCUGAUGUUCUGACUCUACAUCAACAAUCUGUGUGGGUACAUUUGGACCCAGAACCAAUGUUCUGGCAAUAUUCUCUUUCAACUACUCUUUGUAGGUAUCACUAACCUCCGGUUCAUACCCAAUACAAAAGAAAACUUCCUUCAUCUUUCUUCUCCUCCACCCAUCUACCAUGUACUGUUUGAGUGGAGUUUCACCUUUGUGUGGUACUUAAAUCCAUGACAAAUCUUCCUAAAAGAAUAUGAAUACAUUUAAAAAGAAAGUUAACGAAAAUGAUUGAGGACUUUCUGAGAGACUUGGGGACCUGGAGCAUUUUGGGCGAACUUUAGAUAAUAAGCACAUAUUUUUUCCUAAAGGGUUUCUAAUACUUUGUUAAAGAGUAGAUCAAUUUACCUUUGAUUUAACAAUGCAUAUAAUCACAUAAACAGUUAUAUCACACAAGACAGUUAUAU